CCAGCCAAACUAAAGCACUGAAUUGACCCUCAAUAUCUGAUACCAUACAAAACCAUACAAAGCAGAUUGUUCAACUCCAACGUUAUGUAUCCCCCCAUCAUCAACGGCGGCUUACUCGAAAGCGAAUGGAAUAUUAGAUUUAUUGUCUCAAUGGUGGCUUCUGCACUCUUCGGCUCAUGUUAGCAUGUAUAAGAAAGGUGAUGAGAAGGUAGUGAAAGGGUAAAGUUAUACUUACAGCUUUGUUUUCGGAUCCCUGAAAAAAGUGAAAACCAAGUUGAGUUGCAGGCUCACCCCAGUGUCUUGGGGAACCCAUUUUUAUAUCUCAGUUCCCUCCUCCUAACGAUUCAAGAAACGCCAGAAAUACAGGGACAUGCGCAAAGACAGAAGGCCCUUCAACAACGACAGGCAGACGGGCCUGGGAUGGGAAGAUGGAUGUUGUUUUUAGUCAGGGAUAGUCUCUAAUGAUUUCUCUGCAUAAUUUCUAAUGUUCUUCUGCUUCACUCACCUCUCUAUAAGAACCUCUUUAUAUGAUCUUUUCUUUUGAUCUCUUUUCUCUUUCUUUUCUUAAUCAAUUUGUAAACUGUAUUAGAAUAGUACUAAGUCUGUU
rnacentral:sRNA from 1 species